rnacentral:misc_RNA from 1 species
GAUGAAGAACGCAGUGAAAUGCGAUAAGUAGUGUGAAUUGCAGAAUUCAGUGAAUCAUCGAAUCUUUGAACGCACAUUGCGCCCGCCAGCACUCUGGCGGGCAUGCCUGUUCGAGCGUCAUUUCAACCAUCAAGCCCCAGGCUUGCGUUGGAGCCCUGCGGCUGCCGCAGCCUCCUAAAAGCAGUGGCGGGCUCGCUAUCACACCGAGUGCAGUAGAUUACUCUUCGCUCAGGGCGUGCAGCGGGUUCCGGCCGUGAAACCCCCUACUUUUAAAGGUUGACCUCGGAUCAGGUAGGAAUACCCGCUGAACUUAAGCAUAUCAAUAAGCGGAGGA